AAUAGAUACCCCGGUAGUCCACGCCGUAAACGAUGUCGACUUGGAGGUUGUUCCCUUGAGGAGUGGCUUCCGGAGCUAACGCGUUAAGUCGACCGCCUGGGGAGUACGGCCGCAAGGUUAAAACUCAAAUGAAUUGACGGGGGCCCGCACAAGCGGUGGAGCAUGUGGUUUAAUUCGAUGCAACGCGAAGAACCUUACCUACUCUUGACAUCCAGAGAACUUAGCAGAGAUGCUUUGGUGCCUUCGGGAACUCUGAGACAGGUGCUGCAUGGCUGUCGUCAGCUCGUGUUGUGAAAUGUUGGGUUAAGUCCCGCAACGAGCGCAACCCUUAUCCUUUGUUGCCAGCGGUCCGGCCGGGAACUCAAGGAAACUGCCAGUGAUAAACUGGAGGAAGUGGGGAUGACGUCAAGUCAUCAUGGCCCUUACGAGUAGGGCUACACACGUGCUACAAUGGCGCAUACAAAGAGAAGCGACCUGCGAGAGCAAGCGGACCUCAUAAAGUGCGUCGUAGUCCGGAUUGGAGUCUGCAAC
rnacentral:rRNA from 1 species